ensembl:snRNA U1 U1 spliceosomal RNA
ACUCCCACCUGGCAGGGGAGAUACCAUGAUCACGAAGGUGGUUUUCCCAGGGUGAGGCUCCUCCAUUGCCCUCCUGCUUUUUCAUUGACUCUGAUCAAUCUUGUGUUAUUCUUUUUUGCAUCAUCUAGUAGCUGUUGGAUUGAUUUUUUUCAUGUUCCCU